rnacentral:ncRNA from 1 species
CUCUAUUGAGGUCGGAAAUGGCACCCGACACACUCUGAAAAGAGUACCUGAGAUGCAACGAGUGCCGCCUUGCCAAUAGUA